GGGAUAUUGGACAAUGGGGGGAACCCUGAUCCAGCGACGCCGCGUGAGUGAAGAAGUAUCUCGGUAUGUAAAGCUCUAUCAGCAGGGAAGAAGAAAUGACGGUACCUGAGUAAGAAGCCCCGGCUAACUCCGUGCCACCAGCCGCGGUAAUACGUAGGGGGCAAGCGUUAUCCGGAAUUACUGGGUGUAAAGGGAGCGUAGACGGUGAUGUAAGUCUGGAGUGAAAGGCCGGGGCCCAACCCCGGGACUGCUCUGGAAACUGCCUGGCUGGAGUACAGGAGAGGUAAGUGGAAUUCCUAGUGUAGCGGUGAAAUGCGUAGAUAUUAGGAGGAACACCAGUGGCGAAGGCGGCUUACUGGACUGUAACUGACGUUGAGGCUCGAAAGCGUGGGGAGCAAACAG
rnacentral:rRNA from 1 species